rnacentral:rRNA from 1 species
UACAGAGGUCCCAAGCGUUGUUCGGAUUUAUUGGGCGUAAAGGGUGCGUAGGCGGCGGAGUAAGUUGGGUGUGAAAUCCCGGGGCUCAACCUCGGAAUUGCAUUCAAUACUGCUUCGCUCGAGUACUGGAGAGGAGACUGGAAUUUACGGUGUAGCAGUGAAAUGCGUAGAUAUCGUAAGGAAGGCCGGUGGCGAAAGCGAGUCUCUGGGCCGAUACUGACGCUGAGGAGCGAAAGCGUGGGGAGCGAACGGG